GCUCUAUCAACCAAGUCCUUUCUCCAACGUGAAUUAAAGACCACCUGCGAUGCUCUAGACGACCAAUUCUCAUUGCUUUUAGCCGUACCCUUAUCCUACUCCUCCUCGUUUCCUCUGGUGAUGUAGAGGUGAAUCCAGGCCCUGCAGUGCCGAGCUCCACUCCUAUUCCCCAGGCUCUGGGGCCUGAGAGGGUGGUACGGCUCGUGACAAUACUUGCUGCAACUCCUCCGCUGAGAAGUCUUCCAGUCCCAGGAACCAAAAUACAAGUCUGUAUCAUGUGAGAAUGUGAGCAUACCGCAUACCUAGAUGCACAA